rnacentral:piRNA from 1 species
UCAGCCUUCUUGCCACAUGGGAGCUUCCUU